CACCACCACCGCAGACUCCACAACCGCCGUAGCUUAACUGGAGUCUCGCCGUCUUCCUUCCACCCUGUAUGAACCUCCAGCAUUCAGGACCGUGUGGGGAAGACCUCUCCUCCAAGGAGAGCAUAACCGGAACAAGCUCUUAAAAGAGCUUAGUGAUUAAAGCUCAAGGGAGUAUGCAGAGCAUAGCAAUCCUUGUAGUGAUUAUAGCUGUCCCCUACAAACAUGAGUCAAGGCUGCAAGUUAGAGGGUCAAGUCAUUCUGUUUAUUGGCACCAAAAGAACCUUCUUUUAUGCAGGUUUCCCUUAGUUAG